UGCUAGUCGCACGAGUUCAGACUCGUGGCGAAUAGCUCAGUAACACGUGGCCAAACUACCCUUCGGAGCUCCAUACCCUCGGGAAACUGAGGCUAAUAGAGCAUACCACAAUCCAGCUGGAAUGAGGAUUGUGUCAAACGCUCCGGCGCCGAAGGAUGUGGCUGCGGCCGAUUAGGUAGACGGUGGGGUAACGGCCCACCGUGCCAAUAAUCGGUACGGGUCAUGAGAGUGAGAACCCGGAGACGGAAUCUGAGACAAGAUUCCGGGCCCUACGGGGCGCAGCAGGCGCGAAACCUUUACACUGCACGCCAGUGCGAUAAGGGGAUCCCAAGUGCGCAGGCAUAGAGCCUGCGCUUUUGUACACCGUAGGGAGGUGUACGAAUAAGGGCUGGGCAAGACCGGUGCCAGCCGCCGCGGUAAUACCGGCAGCCCGAGUGAUGGCCGAUUUUAUUGGGCCUAAAGCGUCCGUAGCUGGCCGCGCAAGUCCAUCGGAAAAUCCACCCGCCCAACGGGUGGGCGUCCGGUGGAAACUGCGUGGCUUGGGACCGGAAGGCGCGACGGGUACGUCCGGGGUAGGAGUGAAAUCCCGUAAUCCUGGACGGACCGCCGAUGGCGAAAGCACGUCGCGAGGACGGAUCCGACAGUGAGGGACGAAAGCCAGGGUCUCGAACCGGAUUAGAUACCCGGGUAGUCCUGGCCGUAAACAAUGUCUGUUAGGUGUGGCUCCCACUACGAGUGGGUGCUGUGCCGUAGGGAAGCCGCUAAACAGACCGCCUGGGAAGUACGUCCGCAAGGAUGAAACUUAAAGGAAUUGGCGGGGGAGCACUACAACCGGAGGAGCCUGCGGUUUAAUUGGACUCAACGCCGGACAUCUCACCAGCAUCGACUGUAGUAAUGACGAUCAGGUUGAUGACCUUAUCCGAGCUUCAGAGAGGAGGUGCAUGGCCG
rnacentral:rRNA from 1 species